rnacentral:rRNA from 1 species
CAGUCGCCGCGGUAAUUCGAAGGGGGCUAGCGUUGCUCGGAAUUACUGGGCGUAAAGCGUGCGUAGGCGGUUUGUUAAGUCUGUUGUGAAAUCCCCGGGCUCAACCUGGGAAUGGCAAUGGAUACUGGCAAGCUAGAGUGUGUCAGAGGAUGGUGGAAUUCCCGGUGUAGCGGUGAAAUGCGUAGAGAUCGGGAGGAACAUCAGUGGCGAAGGCGGCCAUCUGGGACAACACUGACGCUGAGGCACGAAAGCGUGGGGAGCAAACAGGAUUAGAUACCCCCGUAGUCCCUGUCUCUUAUAC